UGGAAUCUACUCAACUACUUGAGAAUUGUGACUUCUUUUUAUGUUACUAUUUAACGUAAAGCUUCAGAACUUGAGCCAAAUCGCUGGUAUAUCCAUAAGGAAAGGUUUAGGACUUUUCAAGAUUAACCAAAAUAAUUUUAUUACACCAUUAAAAGAGAAAUGCUAAGGGAGUACGGUGCAACCUUUUUCAAGAAUAUCAUAUGGAUUUUUCCUUAUUCCAGGUAUGUUAAGGCUAUCCCUUCUUUCUUUUGGCAUGAUCCAUAUGAUAAGAACGAAACGUGCAAAUGCAAAAAUUUCAUAAAUGACUCCAUUCAAAAAGUAUUAGAGAUAUCUAUGUUCCUGAAUUUCCAUGUGUCAUAAUAUUAUUAUUUCCUGUUCAUGGGUCUCAGAAUAAUACGUAGUUGAAAAAAUUUAUCCGGAAAGAAUAUUGAGAUUAUUACAUAUUUUUCAUACAUUUCAUACAUGUGCAUUGACCCAUGACCAGAUGGCGUUAUAUACCCAUAUAUAUGUAAAUAUAUGUAUAUGGAUAUGGGAAAAGGUUACGGCGUUACCACCACCUGAUCAGUUGGUAUAUGAUUAUGAUGUUACCCACGGUGGCUGAAAUAUGAUUCAAACGACGUUAUAUACGCGUAUAUAUGUAUGUAUAUAUAUAUAUGUAUAUGGGAUAUGGGAAAGGGUAUAACGUUAUAGACGCACCACCACCUGAUCAACUGGUAUACGAUGAUGAUUUUGCCCACAGUGGUUGAUAUGAUAUGAUGGGAUGCCCUCAGAGGCUGAUGAUGUUAUGAAACAUGUACCUAUGCACGACAUGACAUUCAUACGCAUAUGAAUGAAGCUAAAAGUAAUUUAUGAUUUACAUAGUUAUUCAGACUGAUAGGUUGAGUCAUGUACUCUAUAUUUCUUCCAUGUCUCUUAUGUAUUUAUUUAUGUGCCUUACAUACUUGGUACAUUAUUCAUACUGAUGUCCCUUUUGCUUGGGGACACUGUAUUUCAUGUCCGCAGGUCCCGAUAGACCGGUCGAGUACCCUCCAAGUAGGCUAUUAACUCAGUGGAAGAUGUUGGUGUGCUCCAUUUGCUUUGGAGUUUCUUAUUUGGUUAGUAUGAUUUAGACGUGUAUUGUUUGGUAUGGCGGGACUCUGUCUCGACCUUUAUGAUAUUUAUAUAUUCUUAGAGGCUUGUAGACAUAUGUCGUGUACGUGAAAGAUUGUAUGGCCUUGUCGGCCUAUGUUUUGAGUUUAUAAAUAAUUAC
rnacentral:lncRNA from 1 species